rnacentral:sRNA from 1 species
AGCUGACCAAUGAAAUAUGCGCAGGCAAUCCUUACAGCUGCGCCAAUGUUUCUGUGGGUUCUUGGUAGCGCUAACGAUCAUUCUCAUCACCAAUCCCUAUCUCAUAGGCGACGUCAACCAAAUUCAACAGCCCCAUCAGCGGCGGCAGCAGCAGCGGCAGCAUGUCUCUGAGCAAAAGGACAGAGUCCGACACAUCCCAGCGGUGCCAAAAAAAUCAGCGGGGGUUUGUGUGUCGUGCCAAGAGCCCGGUCCUCGCCGACUUGUGGCAGACGUCGAUUGUCGGCGAAUCAUCGAAGGCGAUGAAAAUUAUAUUAAAAACGUCAGCAAGUUGAUGAAAAACAAGAAAUUUAAGUUUAAAAGUGAUGCAGAAAUAGCCGACGUUGCUAAAAACUGCGAUAAAUUUUUAAGGCACUAUGACUACCGGAAUUUCUACGUAACAAGAGAGGAAUUGGAUUUUCCUAUUGCAUACAGUCUGUUAACUUUCAAAGAUGCUAUACAAACUGAACUUCUUCUUCGAUCAAUAUAUAGACCCCACAAUGUUUACUGUAUUCAUAUAGAUAAAAGUGCCGACCAAUCGCUACAUAGGGCGAUGAAAAAUAUUGCAAACUGCCUCCAAAAUGUGUUCAUUGCCUCCAAGCUUGAGGACGUUAUCUAUGGAGAUAUAAGUCGUCUGCGAGCGGAUAUCAACUGUAUGUCUGACUUGAUGGACUUUCAUUCUGUGCAAUGGAAAUAUUUUAUCAAUUUACCGCAUCAGCAAUAUCCACUGAAGACAAAUUCGGAAAUUGUGAAAAUUUUAAAAAUAUAUAAUGGUGCUAAUGAUGUUGAGGGCAUAACGAAACCCUCAAGAAUGUUCCGAAUUCGCUACCUAAAAUCCUAUAGAGUAGAAAAAGGCAAGUUACACAAUACUGGUAAAGCCAAGGGUCCACCGCCUCACAACAUCAGUGUGGUAAAAGGGAGCGCAUACGGGACAUUUAGUCGGGACUUUCGUUAAUUUCACACUUCAUGAUAAAAUGGCGAAAGACGUUUUACAAUGGUGCGAGGAUGUGUCCAGUCCCGAUGAAUAUUUCUGGGCCACUCUGAAUUUUAACAAGAAGAUCGAAGCUCCAGGUGGAUAUCCAGCUGUUCCUGACCAGAAACCUUGGCUGUCUACUUUUGCUGCUUGGGGUGGCGUGCACCCCUGCCACGGAAAGUUUGUCCGGGGGGUAUGCGUGUUCGGCCUGGGGGACCUGACUGAGCUCGUGUCAAGAAAGGAACUGUUUGUCAACAAGUUUUAUUACUACUACCAGCCGUAUGCUCUUCAGUGUCUAGAGGAAUGGCACUUCAACAAUACCUUCAGUGUGUUACCAUUCAAAACUCAUUACUAUAAAACACUACCAUUCAUUAUUAGAUAGGUUUUUAGAAAAUUGGUUGAAGAAAAAGCAGUUACUGUAUAUGUACAAUGUGUUUUUAUUGAUACCAUGGGUUGUUAAGUUGUUUAUUAAUGAUUACAUAAAAUGUAAUGCAGUAAAAAUAUUGCGUGAUAAAAGACACUGGUAUUUG